rnacentral:rRNA from 1 species
ACGGGUGAGUAAUGCUUAGGAAUCUGCCUAUUAGUGGGGGACAACAUCUCGAAAGGGAUGCUAAUACCGCAUACGUCCUACGGGAGAAAGCAGGGGAUCUUCGGACCUUGCGCUAAUAGAUGAGCCUAAGUCGGAUUAGCUAGUUGGUGGGGUAAAGGCCUACCAAGGCGACGAUCUGUAGCGGGUCUGAGAGGAUGAUCCGCCACACUGGGACUGAGACACGGCCCAGACUCCUACGGGAGGCAGCAGUGGGGAAUAUUGGACAAUGGGGGGAACCCUGAUCCAGCCAUGCCGCGUGUGUGAAGAAGGCCUUAUGGUUGUAAAGCACUUUAAGCGAGGAGGAGGCUACUUUAGUUAAUACCUAGAGAUAGUGGACGUUACUCGCAGAAUAAGCACCGGCUAACUCUGUGCCAGCAGCCGCGGUAAUACAGAGGGUGCGAGCGUUAAUCGGAUUUACUGGGCGUAAAGCGUGCGUAGGCGGCUUAUUAAGUCGGAUGUGAAAUCCCCGAGCUUAACUUGGGAAUUGCAUUCGAUACUGGUGAGCUAGAGUAUGGGAGAGGAUGGUAGAAUUCCAGGUGUAGCGGUGAAAUGCGUAGAGAUCUGGAGGAAUACCGAUGGCGAAGGCAGCCAUCUGGCCUAAUACUGACGCUGAGGUACGAAAGCAUGGGGAGCAAACAGGAUUAGAUACCCUGGUAGUCCAUGCCGUAAACGAUGUCUACUAGCCGUUGGGGCCCUUUGAGGCUUUAGUGGC